UGAAACGAUACAUUUACCAUCAUGCACACAGAUGAUCAGGUAGUCUUGUAUUCCCCGUAGCUGGCUUUGAAGAUGGAAGAAACACAGCUGUUACCGUUGCUGCAGUUAGCUCAAAGCUGUGGGGUCCUGGGCGUUGAUGACAUAUCCUAGACCAGAUUGUAGCAGCAACAAUCAAGAACUAGAGCAGUCCCCUUUGACUGUUUCAGCACACUUUGGAUCAGGGACACAGAGGAAAAAGUUAUUUUUAACAGCUAUUUCACUCAGGAGGAUUGACAAUGCAGUGGACACCUGCUGUGACCAAAGAAACCUUCAGUGAAAUGGGAGAUUGAAUUUAAUACAAAAAUGCAGCAUGGAUGAUCCAUCUCACAACAGUUCUUCAGGAGUACUGUUGAGUGGUCUCAGCAAUAGCUCGUAGAUUAUACACCAAAGAAGGGGAAGAACAAAGGAUGCUGUCUGUCCUAAAGAGAUAAUAAAAUAAAGAUGGACAGAAAAAGAAUCA
rnacentral:lncRNA from 1 species